rnacentral:tRNA from 1 species
UUAAUUGAAGCUAAUAAAAAAAAGCUUUUCACUGUUAAUGAAAAAGAAAGGAAUCUUAUAUCCCAAUUAAA